rnacentral:rRNA from 1 species
GACAGAGGUUGCAAACGUUGUUCGGAAUCACUGGGCAUAAAGCGCACGUAGGCGGUCUGUUAAGUCAGGUGUGAAAGCCCCCGGCUCAACCGGGGAACAGCAUUUGAUACUGGCAGACUCGAGGAUGGUAGGGGUGAGUGGAACUCCAGGUGGAGCGGUGAAAUGCGUAGAUAUCUGGAGGAACACCGGUGGCGAAGGCGGCUUUCUGGGCCUGUCCUGACGCUGAGGCGCGAAAGCUGGGGGAGCGAACAGG